UAGCGGAGGAAAAGAAACCAACAGGGAUUGCCUCAGUAACGGCGAGUGAAGCGGCAAAAGCUCAAAUUUGAAAUCUAGCACCUUCGGUGUUCGAGUUGUAAUUUGAAGAUGGUAACCUUGGGUUUGGCUCUUGUCUAUGUUCCUUGGAACAGGACGUCAUAGAGGGUGAGAAUCCCGUCUGAUGAGAUGCCCAUUCCUAUGUAAGGUGCUAUCGAAGAGUCGAGUUGUUUGGGAAUGCAGCUCUAAGUGGGUGGUAAAUUCCAUCUAAAGCUAAAUAUUGGCGAGAGACCGAUAGCGAACAAGUACAGUGAUGGAAAGAUGAAAAGAACUUUGAAAAGAGAGUGAAAAAGUACGUGAAAUUGUUGAAAGGGAAGGGCAUUAGAUCAGACUUGGUGUUUUACGAUUAUCUUCUCUUCUUGAGUUGUGCACUCGUAUUUCACUGGGCCAGCAUCGAUUCGGAUGGCAAGAUAAUGGCAGUUGAAUGUGGCUUCACUUCGGUGGAGUGUUAUAGCUUCUGCUGAUAUUGCCUGUCUGGAUCGAGGGCUGCGUCUUUUGACUAGGAUGCUGGCGUAAUGAUCUAAUGCCGCCCGUC
rnacentral:rRNA from 1 species